rnacentral:lncRNA from 1 species
CUUUUUAUGGCUACACCUGCAGCACAUGAACAUUGCUGGGCUAGUGGUCAAAUCGGAGCUGCAGCUGCCGGUCUACACCACAGGCUCAGCAACAUGGGACCCGAGUCUCAUCUGAGAACAGAUCCUUAACCCACUGAGCAAGGCCAGGGAUCGAACCCAAGUCCUUAUAAAAAAUAGGCCAUAAAUACAUAUAAAGAGUAAAGAAAAGAAAAGAAUAGGGUAGUGAAGUAAAUCCUGUGAUAAACCUAGAAGACAACUAUAUUAGUCUUCUGUUAAUCAAGCAAAAGGAGUCUAUUCAAAACCUGGAAAGAAAGCAAAGAGCCACAUAACAAAACAAAACAAAACAAAACAAGCACACCACUCAUCCUUUAGUUCCAUUAUGUCAUUGUGGAAAAAAUCUGGGUUUGAAGUUGGAUCUUGUUACUUAUUAGUUGUGUACACAGGCAACUUUCUUUCUCGGGUUCUGACUUUCCCUUUCUGUAAAAUGGAUGUAAUUACAGUGUCGACCUCAAGGCUCUGCUGGAGAUAAAAUGAGAAAGGCUCACUCCCUAGAGGUGUGGCCCUCACUGGGUAGGUGGAGGACAAGGGUGUGGGGUGCCCUGCAGGGCUCUGCCACAGGCCACGUUAUUGUCAUCUGGUCCCAGAACAGCCAGCUCUUUAGCUCUGCCCUCAAAGCAACAAAGCGCAGUGAAAGCCCCCAUUAUCCCAUCCGCUUAAGUGACCUUCCAUAGUUUUAAAGGGAAAAUUCCCUAAACAUGAUCCUUUUCAAAUCUCUUUUGAACCUGAAUCUCACGCAGUAACCUGGGCUUGGGCUUGGUGUGAAAUAUGAGGAUAGACACACCCUGCAUUUACAGAUGAGCUGGAAGCAGUGCUUUCACACAGUGUUCCUAUAACCUCCUAAAUGAAUUUGCUCUGCUUGUCCCAUGCUGUGCCAACGGAAACCGCCCGUGGAAACCAAAGAGCUAGUCUGGGUGGACGAUGCUGUAAAUAACAUCCACCAGGAAAAAAAAAAAAAUCCUGAGGAAAAUUAAUUUUCCACAGCGGAACAGAGCAGGGAAAACAGAACUUGCUUCUCCUGCUUAUGAUUUAUAACAGGUCCCCUCUUAACUCACAAUAAUGAAUCACUGACUUUUCCUCCAAGGAGUUCAUUCUGUCUCUGAGUUGGACUCUGUAUAUACGGAAAUCCAAGGACAGGAACCUUCCUUCCAGUUGGGAUUCCUCCACGCUGUGCUUCCACAUCCUGUCCUCUCCAACAGCCACAAAAAAAAUCUCCCAAAGGAAUUUCUCCAAAGGGACCCUUCUCCCUCACUCCCUUCCCGAUUUGUCAGAAUUCUCAGCCGAGUUUCAUCAAGAGUCAAGUUUCCAACAAUUGGAUUAAGACAUAAAAUUCAUAUUCUUCUAAAGAUUUUUCUGAUUCAAAGGUAUAUGUCCAACCACUGAUGAAAACCCAUAAGAAAAUGUGAUCAAAGUAUGGUGUGUUUUGUAAUUGUAUUUAAGUUUUAAAACAUGUAUUUAACAAAUCUUAGAGUAACUAUCUUACUGCUAUAGUUAUGUAACAUGUUAUUUAGGAAUCAUAUUUAUUCCAAAUUCCAGAAAGCUUAGUUCUGUUUCCAUUUAAUAAUUGUACCUCGACUUGCUCAAAGCCAGCCUUUUCUUAGCAGUGUUUCCACAGAUCUUCCACUGCCAAAUCUAGAGGUACACGUCUCAAUGUCCAGAUACCUUGGCAGAAUCUGCCCCCAAUGAUCAUUUGUUCUCUUCUUCUAAAAACAUUUUAUCGCAUUGGCCAUGACAACCACACUCUUCACAUUUUCCUACCACCUCUGCUCCUUCUUAGGGUCCUUUGAAGUGGCUCUUCUUCCACCUAUAACUUCAAUCUGGCUUUUCCUCAGGGCUCUACUCUAGGCUUCUGUCUUCUCACUCUAAACUCUGCUUCAGCAGCCUGACCCAGGUC